AACCUGCCUGCGUCUGAUCCAGAAAAAGAGCAGAUUGCAUUCUUACCCAAAUACUCUUCGUGAUUGCCUGCUUUGCGGCUUUGGGAUUCUUCAGGGAGUAGAGAAUAUUCACAGGGUUAACAUCCCAGCCUUCUCAGCAUGUAAGCAUAUUGUAAUCCUAUUUAUUCACUAAAAAUGUAAAUUCCUCUGAUCUACACUUUAUUUUCUUUAAUCUGCAGGUCGAAUACAGCUUCUUAUUCACUGAUGACUAACUCAAAAAUUUAAAACGAUAUUUUUAUGUUUGUAUUUCCGAAUAUUAAAAGUGUCUUCCUUCUCUUAUGGCCCCACCCCAGCAUGUUCUUAAGUGUCUAUUUCAAACAAAAGAAAAUGACAUCCCCCUUUCAACUAGCCAAACAUUAGAUUCUCUCAGAACUGACUGGGGAUUCACUAGAAGUUUCGCAAUUAGGUUCAUUCAAAUUGAAUUAUUUUCUUUUUUUCCAAACAUCGUUCUUAGAACUUUAUAAAUGUAGCAAUACUGGCUUCACAAUUUCAUGUGGCUCGUUUACAAAUAAAGGUAUUUUAAUAAAACCAAGUUCUGUGUACCUUUGAAAAACAAAAAGCUGGAACAAUCUCACAUUAAAACAUUACAAAAGGAUUGUAAAGGGAAAUUUAAAGGGAGAAAACUUGAUUAUAUAAUGCAAUCCAGCAGUAAUCAAUUUUACCUUCAAUAUCUUGCUUUUGUUUUCAAAAUGCUAAAUAAACAAUACAUAAUGCAUCCCUCAUCAGCCAAACCAUGGAGGCUCUGUGCUCAAAUAACAGGAAACAUAUUCAAUUUUCCUAACAGAAGACAGUUCAUUAAGCUGUGCCACAUCAAAUAAAACUUUAAUUUCUCCAGCAUCAGAGUCGCAAUGAAAGCAAUUGAAGAAGAUGAGCCAUAUGGUACUUCUAUCAGCAAACACAUAUUGCUCAUUCCCCCAAAGUUUUCUAAUUCUGCUCCCCAGACCUGUGUAAUAUAGAUAAUGUGCUCCGAGAGCAGCAACCAUGAGCUAUCUAGUGUACACUUCUAAUACUGUAUUUAAUGGGAAAUAAUGAAUCAUAAAAGCCUAGAGAAGACGGCUUUUGCUAACCUAAAUCUCAGCUGUAAUUUCAUUGUUCUGUGCCUAAGAUGCUGUUUGCCCUUUCCAAACAACAGCAGUUGAACAUAAUUAUGCUGCUUCGAACCUGGGCUUGAAAAAGCAUCCCUAAUAUAACCAACUUUCUAUUAACUCCUGAAUUUCUGAAUUUAAUGAUGCACUGAUACAGGCCUUGACAUAAUCAAGCAUGUGUCAUUUAAAAAUCCAAAUAAGCAUUUUUCCCCUUCUUCUCUUUGGUCAGACUGCUCAAUGCUUUUAUGCUUCCUCCUCCGCCCCCUGCUUGCGUCCAUCCCCCACCCCCCACCCCACCCCAUGCAACAGGAGUGGCAUGAUUAAAAAUGAGGAGAUUUUCUUGUUAUUAGCAAAUUUGACAUUUGCCUGAUGAAAUGCACAUAAAAUGUGAAAGCUACACAGUACUCAGAAGAAUGUCUCCACUCCAAUCCUAGCUACCAAGAUGAAAUAAUUUAGGUAAAGGAAAUGUAAAGGUCCUUGUACAUCUCUUGCUGCGGAAUGCUAGGGCUGUGUUAUAAAUGAAAGAACCAAAUAUUGCUGAGCUUUUAGAGUGAUAGUAUUUUGGCACAUGUGAAGCGCAUAGUGUUCCUUCUCUCACCUUAGCUGCUUUGACAAUUCACUUAAACACAAUACAUAUGCCCAAACACAGCAAUGUGUGUGUCGUGAGCCCAGCCUUUCUCUGGUUUAAGAUCUUGGGGCUGGGGCUUUGUUCAUUUUUAGGAAAAAAUGUUGCUUUUUCCUCUAACUAGGUCAAUAAUUCCAGCUUUUCCAUUUUUAAAGCUUAUCAAAUCAAUAUUUUACCAACAUGAUGCUAAUUUAGAACAUCAUCAAAUAACACCGUGGAUACAUAUUGAAAACAUAUUUUAAUGGUUUUGUUUGUUUUGGCAUCAUAUGAACCAAGAACAAUUAAAUUAAAAAGAGACUUUUAAAAGUUAGAGAUUGCCUUUUUAAAGCUUAUUAAAAUCAGCAUGUUAACAUGCCUGUCUCUGAAUUAGCUCUCACACUUGAUUGCCAUCAUUAAAACUAGUUGUUUGGGUGCUGCUCAAAGCCGAUUCUUACUAGUUAUUAACUUGAAAUCUCUUUCCAUUGAAAUGUGUAAAAAAAAAAAAAAAAAA
rnacentral:lncRNA from 1 species